AUUGAACGCUGGCGGCAUGCCUAACACAUGCAAGUCGAGCGAGCGGCGGACGGGUGAGUAAUGUCUGGGAAACUGCCUGAUGGAGGGGGAUAACUACUGGAAAAGGUAGCUAAUACCGCAUACCCUCAGAUGUGCGCAGAUGGGAUUAGCUAGUAGGUGGGGUAACGGCUUAACGAGUCGACGAUCCCUAGCUGGUCUGAGAGGAUGAUCCGCCACACUGGUACUGAGACACGGUCAAUACUCCUACGGGAGGCAGCAGUGGGGAAUAUUGGACAAUGGGCACAACCCUGAUGCAGCCAUGCCGCGUGUAUGAAGAAGGCCUUCGGGUUGUAAAGUACUUUUGGCGGGGAGGCGGUACCCGCAGAAUAAGCACCGGCUAACUCCGUGCCAGCAGCCGCGGUAAUAC
rnacentral:rRNA from 1 species